AGGACGAACGCUGGCGGCGUGCCUAACACAUGCAAGUCGAACGGGACUUAAUGGAAUGAGACUUCGGUCAAAGGAAGUUAAGUUUAGUGGCGGACGGGUGAGUAACGCGUGAGCAACCUGCCUUUCAGAGGGGGACAACAGUUGGAAACGACUGCUAAUACCGCAUAACGUAUACUUGGGGCAUCCUUGGUAUACCAAAGAUUUAUCGCUGAAAGAUGGGCUCGCGUCUGAUUAGAUAGUUGGCGGGGUAACGGCCCACCAAGUCGACGAUCAGUAGCCGGACUGAGAGGUUGAACGGCCACAUUGGGACUGAGAUACGGCCCAGACUCCUACGGGAGGCAGCAGUGGGGAAUUAAUUGGUCAAUGGGGGGAACCCUGAACCAGCAACGCCGCGUGAAGGAAGAAGGCUUUCGGGUUGUAAACUUCUUUUGCCGGGGACGAAACAAAUGACGGUACCCGGCGAAUAAGCCACGGCUAACUACGUGCCAGCCGCCGC
rnacentral:rRNA from 1 species